rnacentral:sRNA from 1 species
CUUUUUUGCUAUCUGCGAUAUCAAAAUUCGAACCUGCCGCAGGUUCGGGCCGAGCGCAGCGAGACAACGGAGCCGCUUGCGGCGACGGCCCGAAGGGCGAGGCGAAGCCGAGUCAUCCUGCACGACCCACCA